rnacentral:rRNA from 1 species
UACGGAGGGUGCAAGCGUUGUCCGGAUUUAUUGGGUUUAAAGGGUGCGUAGGUGGAACUGUAAGUCUGAUUUGAAAGCAAGCGGCUUAACCGUUUGAUGUGGUUGGAAACUGUGGUUCUUGAAUGGGUUGGCGGUAGCCGGAAUGGGUCAUGUAGCGGUGAAAUGCAUAGAUAUGACCCGGAACACCGAUUGCGAAGGCAGGCUACUACGACUUGAUUGACACUGAGGCACGAGAGCAUGGGUAGCGAACAG